rnacentral:lncRNA from 1 species
GUAUAGCAAAAACAAACGAUAAGGACGCAAGUGUCCAUUUCUUUUAAAAUAAGGGCGUAAGUUGACCCUACCACAAAACGACAGAGACGUAAAUUGUGGUUUACUUGAAAAAUGUUACAUUUAUAGGAAUACAAGGCCUGCUUAUUUAAUACUUAAAGUUUAAUAAUUUAAAAUUAAAUUAAAUAAUAUGUAUUUAGUUUUAAAGAAAGAUGAUUGGAAUAUGUUAUUGGAUACCUCUAAUCCCCCAAAAAAAUGGGAUACCCCUCAACUCCCUCUUCGUAGUGUAAAAAUACCCUUCAACUUCGCCUACGUAGUGUAAAAUUUUUAUCUUUUUAUACAAAGGAUACCUCUAAUCCCCCCAAAAAAAAUGGGAUACCCCUAAAUUUUUGGGCUAGCUCCGCUAAUGGUAUUUACAAUAAAGAAAAGUUUAAAAAAAAGUUUUAUUUUAUUUUUUCUAAAUUUUAAUUAUAAAAUAAGAAAUUGAGUUUUCUAUUAACCUUUUAGCAGUUUUCCGUAAACACUUCCAUUUUUUUAACUAUUUAUUUUUAAAUACUAAUUAUGUGAACUAAUAAUAUUGUAAAAAAUGCAUAAAAAAGCCAGAAAUCUUUCCAACAGUUCAAUUAUUAAUACAGAAGGAAUAUUUGCAUUGGAUGUAGCAGAGUGGGUCAAGAUUUAGUCAGAAGCAUGUGCGUUUUCCAUUUAAUUAAUAUUUUGGGUUUUUUUCUUUUUUUUUUUUAA